rnacentral:rRNA from 1 species
GAUGAACGCUAGCGACAGGCUUAACACAUGCAAGUCGAGGGGCGAGCAGUGAUUUGUAGCAAUACAGUAUUGAUGGCGACCGGCGCACGGGUGAGUAACGCGUAUGCAACUUACCUAUCGAGAGGGGGAUAGCCCGGCGAAAGUCGGAUUAAUACCCCAUAAACGAGGGUCCCGCAUGGGGAAUAUUUGUUAAAGAUUCAUCGCUGAUAGAUAGGCAUGCGUUCCAUUAGGCAGUU